rnacentral:rRNA from 1 species
GACGUAGGGGGCAAGCGUUGUUCGGAAUUAUUGGGCGUAAAGCGCUCGUAGGCGGGACUGGAAGUCCGUGUUGAAAGACCUCGGCUCAACUGGGAGCUUGCAGGCGAAACUGCUUGACUGGAGUGUGGGAGAGGUGCGUGGAAUUCCCGGUGUAGCGGUGAAAUGCGUAGAUAUCGAGAGGAACACCUGAGGUGAAGACGGGUUGCUGGGCCGACACUGACGCUGAGGCGCGAAAGCCAGGGUAGCAAACGGG